rnacentral:lncRNA from 10 species
CUGAGAUUUCCUCUCCGUGACCCUUCUUCCCCCUCUAGGGGUCCUGGGCUGCCCUGAGGCCACCGCCUAGCAAGAUCAAGAUAGGGCUUGAGCGGCAGUGGGAUAGGGCAGUGGGGGUUCCGGGGGGGUCCGGUGCAGGCAGAACCAAGAGUGUGCCGGCGGAGGGCUGUCGGUACAGGGUGCAGGGCGUGGCGGCUGCAGGACCUCAGCUUGCCUCUUUAAAUCCCUUCCUGGGCACCGCGGUGGCCCGGCCCUUUCCCCUCGUGCUGUUUCUGCUGGAAACGCCGCACAGUCUCCUCGGGGGCAGCCGCCAGCGGAAACGGUUAUUGGCCGCCAGGCAAGCCAGUCCCAUCCUUCCCAGCAACUGGGACUUUCCGGGCAGGGCUCCCCAGCGCGGGUUCAGCUAAUUAAGGAAGCAAUUAGCCUCCCCUGAGGCUAUUCAUGCUUCCUCACCCACAGUUCUCAGGUUCUGUGAGACCAGAGCCUCAGUCUCCCGUGAGCAGAGGGUGUGUGUGUGGCUGCCACUAUUCUGCAGACACGCUGGCUCCACCCCAGAGAGUUGCAGGGCCAGGAAAUCUGCAUUUAAACAGACCCUGGCUCUCACACUUCGGAAACUGCCCGAAGCACCUCUCAAAUAUGGGACAGGUGCUUAGGCCGAAAAUCAGGAAUCUCUUGAAUGAAUGCAUGAAGGUGGAGCCCUUUCCCUUAAUGCGCAGGUGAAAAGGGCACCUCGGUGGAUUCUACUAAAUUUAAUAGAAGACCCAAGACGGGGUGGGGGAGACGUGCUUUGUGCUCACCUGGCUGGUUCAUGGGCAGGUGGCCUGGAGGACCCAGCCCUGGCAGCUGUGGGGUAGCUCCAGCCUGGGCCGGACAGCUUCUUUCAUCGCAGGCACCACUGCGGACAUUGCUGGGAGGAAGAGGAGGGAGAAGCGACGGGCUUCAUUAGGAACGGCUUUCGAUGGAUUGGACGAGGCGCGUCCACCCUGGGGAGGGCCAUCAUUUUAUUCAGUCUACUGAUGCAAAUGCUUAUCUCUUCUGGAAACACCUUCACAGACAGACCCAGAAUAUAGUUGAACCAAAUACUGGGCACCUCAUGGCUCCAACAGGUUGACACAAAAAAUGAACCAUUGCAGAAAACGAAGAACAGUCACCAACUCCCACCCAUGCAGCUGGCUCAUUUGCUGGGCUGCCCUCCCCAGCAGGUGGCACAGGAAUCCCUGCCUUGGCAGGGAGGAGGCCUGGGGUGUGUGCAGGUACCCAUGGGAAGUUUCUUUGCCAUGGGGAAAGCCAGAGUCACCCCUUGCUUGAACACAAGAGUUGGAGGUUUCAGUGAGCUGAGAUUACGCUAUUGCACUCCAGCCUGGGCGGCAGAGUGAGACUCUGUCUCUAGAUAAAUAAAUUAAAUAAAUAAAUAAAUAUAAUUUAAUAUAAAUAACUAGAAAUUUUUCAAUACUUGCAUCUCUGUAGGUUACCUCUGGAAGUGCAGGGCUUUGUCUUUUUGGAUUAACUCAGAAAUUAGACCUUCAGAAAACAACAUCAGCUCUGAUUCUCUGCACCCUUGAUGCUGCCGGUGGCGACUGCGGCUUCCUGAUGGAAAUGUAGACCUGAACAUAAGUCGCAGAAAAAUGCAGACUUGAGUUGGAGCUAAGCUGACUCAGGUAUUUUGAGAUCUAUAAUCUGAGUGGGGAGCAGAGAGAUUCCAAGAUAUUUGCAUUCAGUGGCUUUUGCACACAGCAGAACCUGUGCUGAGGGCAUUUCUAGGGUCAUUACUCAUAAUCUGCAGUGUCUCUUUCCAGGGUUCCAGGCGUCUUACCCCAGAGGUGAUUUCCAGAUUUCGAGAAAAACCCAGGAUUUAGGGCUGGCACGGUGGCUCACGCCUGUAAUCCCAGCAUUUUGGGAGGCCGAGGCAGGUGGAUCACUUGAGGUCAGGAGUUUGAGACCAGCCUGGCCAACAUGAUGAAACCCUGUCUCUACUAAAAAUACAAAAAAAUUAGCCGGGUGUGGUGGCAUGCACCUGUAAUCCCAGCUACUCAGGAGGCUGAGGCAGGAGAAUCACUUGAACCUGGGAGGCAGAGGUUGCAGUGAGCCUAGAUCGUGCCAUUGCACUCCAGCCUGGGCAACAAGAGCAAAACUCCAUCUCAAAAAAACAAACAAACAAACAAACAAAACGCAAGAUUUAGAUCCCCUCACUGUAGCGCCCUCAUGGCCUGGUAACUUUAGCAAAGCCUCCCCCUCCUCCCCCUCCUCCUCCUCCUCCUCCUCCUCCCUCCUCCCUCUUCUAGGUACAGAGGAUGAGCAGUGGCUCCCCACACCAUCCCCUGAAGCAGAGGCCCCUCUUCCCUUCAUUCCCCAUUCUGUACAGAUGCUAUGGGAGCUUCAGGCUCCACACUCAGGUCCCCAGUCCCUGAAACAUAAAGCUGAAUAAGACAGAGUCCCUGGGCUGAAGGGGCCACUGUUGGCCAUGGAAGCAGAGUAAACAGAGUGGGGCCGACGUAAAGGUGAGCUGGGGUGCACUGGAGGCACAAAACGGGCAAGGAUGGAGACGUGGGUGACGAGGUAGGGCAGACAGGCAGAGCUCAGACUGGGUCCUAGGCAGGGAGAAGUCACCAUUGUAGAGCAAGGACGAUGUGGUCAGAUCUGGGCUUUAGAAAUCUAGGUGUCUAGCCUAGGCAAUAUAAUGAGACCUCGUCUCCACAAAAAACUUAAAAAAUUAGCCGAGUGUGAUGCCACAUGUCUGUAGCCGCAGCUACUCAGAAAGCUGAGGAUCCCAAGUGGAAGGAUAACUCUAGCUCGGGAGGUCGAGGCUGCAGUGAGCCAUGAUCGUGCCAUUGCACUCCAGCCUGGGCAACAGAGCGAGACCCUGUCUCAAGAAAAAAAAAAAAAAAGUAAAAGAAAAAGAAAGAAGAAAUACAGCUCUGGAGCUGCCUAGGACAGGGUUGGGGACUCUCCUGACUAGCUGCCAGCGAAUGUUUGCUUUCUGUGGCCAGGCCCUGCCUGGCCAGGGUGCACAGGGCUGAGCGAGGCAGAUGGAGCCCCUGCUCUCAGACUGCUUUUCCGAAUGCCAUCUUGACGCUGCUCAAGUUUGGAUUUUGGUUUUCAUGGAAGUCAACUAUGGUUCUGACAUGGCCACCUCUGUCUCAACUGAUGCACGGCCUAGGGAAUCCGGUGAUGCUUCAGCAGGUGGCAGGGCUCAGCUGCACCCGCCCGGGCCCCAGCGCCGCCUGCCACUCCUCCUCCUCCUCCCAGGCUUCGGCUGAGAGCAGGGCCUGGAGCCAGCCUGCUGGGUGGACUCCCAGCUCCACAGUUGGCUAGCUCUGGGGCCCUGGGGAGAUGUCCACCCUCUCUGUGCUUUAAUUUCUUCACCUGUGAGGUGGGGAUGGUAGCACCUCCCUCAUGGGGUGGCUAUGGCUGUGAAAUGAGGUAACGUCUCGGUGUUAGGCAGCUUCCAAAACGGCUCUCCAAGAUCCCCUGCCUCCUGGCCUUCAUAGCCUUGUGGAACCCCUGGCCCUGUGUGUGGGCUGGACUCACUGCCUGCUUCCACCCAAGAGAACAGGGCACAGCUGAUGGGGGUUACUUCUGAGACUAGGUGAUCAAGACUGGGGCUUGCUGGGUCCCUCUGUCUCUGACUCUUUCCUCUGCUCUCUCCUGCUCACUUGCUCACCCUAAUACUAUAUCAAG